rnacentral:rRNA from 1 species
CCUACGGGAGGCAGCAGUAGGGAAUUUUCGUCAAUGGGCGCAAGCCUGAACGAGCAAUGCCGCGUGAACGAGGAAGGUCUUCGGAUCGUAAAGUUCUGUUGAAGGGGAAAAAGAGCGGAGAGAGGAAAUGGUCUCCGAUUGAUAUUACCCUUCGAGGAAGUCACGGCUAACUACGUGCCAGCAGCCGCGGUAAUACGGAGGAUGCGAGCGUUAUCCGGAUUUAUUGGGUUUAAAGGGUGCGUAGGCGGUCCGUUAAGUCAGCGGUAAAAUUGCGGGGCUCAACCCCGUCGAGCCGUUGAAACUGG